rnacentral:rRNA from 1 species
GACGAACGCUGGCGGCGCGCCUAACACAUGCAAGUCGAACGGAGCUUAUAUUUCAGAAGUUUUCGGAUGGACGAGAGAUAAGCUUAGUGGCGGACGGGUGAGUAACACGUGAGCAACCUGCCUUUCAGAGGGGGAUAACAGUUGGAAACGACUGCUAAUACCGCAUAACGCUGCGAUGGGGCAUCCCGAUGCAGCCAAAGGAGCAAUCCGCUGGAAGAUGGGCUCGCGGCCGAUUAGCUAGUUGGUGGGGCAACGGCCCACCAAGGCGACGAUCGGUAGCCGGACUGAGAGGUUGAUCGGCCACAUUGGGACUGAGACACGGCCCAG